rnacentral:rRNA from 1 species
CCUACGGGUGGCAGCAGUGGGGAAUAUUGGACAAUGGGCGAAAGCCUGAUCCAGCCAUGCCGCGUGUGUGAAGAAGGCCUUCGGGUUGUAAAGCACUUUCAGUGGGGAAGAAAGCCUUGGGGCUAAUACCCUCGAGGAAGGACAUCACCCACAGAAGAAGCACCGGCUAACUCCGUGCCAGCAGCCGCGGUAAUACGGAGGGUGCGAGCGUUAAUCGGAAUUACUGGGCGUAAAGCGCGCGUAGGCGGUCUGAUAAGCCGGUUGUGAAAGCCCCGGGCUCAACCUGGGAACGGCAUCCGGAACUGUCAGGCUAGAGUGUAGUAGAGGAAGGUAGAAUUCCCGGUGUAGCGGUGAAAUGCGUAGAGAUCGGGAGGAAUACCAGUGGCGAAGGCGGCCUUCUGGACUGACACUGACGCUGAGGUGCGAAAGCGUGGGUAGCAAACAGGAUUAGAUACCCGAGUAGUC